CAUAUUCUUUCCAUGAGAAAGUAGAACGUAGAAUACAAAAAGGCGUUGUAAAGAUGGUAUCGUGGAGUGUUGAUGAAGUUCAAUUCUUAGUAACUCUGGUUCGAGAGAGAGAAGCUUUGUAUGAUGUAGCAAAUGAAGAUUAUACGAAUCGCGAUAUCGUAUGGGCGUUGUGGACAGAUAUCGCAAGACAGCUCAAUAAAACACCAACUGCAUGCAGGGAUAAAUGGACUAGUCUGAGGUGCGUUUAUAGACGGAUUGUCAAUCAACAAACAAACUUAAAAACCAAAAGAAAAAUAAAAUGGCCUUGGGCAAACAUGAUGACUUUCUUAAUUCCACAUUUAAAAACGCGAUCUUCGCGUGGUUGAUGCGGCUUAUAACUUCUGCUUUUGACGUUCCGUCCGAUGAUAACCUGCAUCCAAGAUACAUGAAGGACUCCACGUUUUCCAGCCGCUCGCUGCCCAAAUACAACCACGGUAUGGUCCUGAUGUAGAAAUUGAUGAUAAUGAUAGUGUCAUAACAAUUAGUGACCAUAGAGCAUAUGGAGCACAUGAUAACAAUUUCAUGAUGCUCAAUAACUAUUCUGAAGACUUUGAAUUAGAGGAAGAUGUGGUUAAUCCUGAAGAUGGAGUGGCAGAAUACUUGUAUGAUGAAAGUGGUGCUGAAUCUGAGUCAGUGGAAGACCAGACAAUGAAGAAACCAAUUAUGAAGCGCAUGAAGCUGGAGGAUCGGUCACAGUUGUUGGAACUCAACACAAGGCUUGCAAAAAAUAUCAACUCAAGACCAAACAGUCACUCAAGGCACAGAAGUGAAAAUGUAGAUGAAUUCCUUAAGAUGGUCCAGUCUGCACACGAAACACCAAGUACACAAGCAAUACAGCAGUAUGAUCAGUUAAUGGGUGCAGAUCCCGAUGAAAUGUUUUUUAGGAGUAUUGUGCCAGAUGUCAAGUUACUGAACCAAAGAGACAAGGGAGCAUUCAAGCUCAGAGUGCAGCAGAUGUUACAUGAUAUGUUGUACCCACCAAAGGAAGAUGAACAAGAGACAGUUACUCAUAACAGUCCUUAACCCUUUCAUUGACAAGUACAUGGUUGCUAAGCAUUUAUUUAAAUACUUUCAUAAAGUGGAGAUAAAAUUCCCAAAUGCUGUAUAACAAAAUCUGUCGAGUAAUAUUGUUAGAGGAUGAAUGAAAAUAGGAUAGGAAAUGUUUAAAGGUGUUCAGAUUGUGAAAACAAACUUUCCGUUGGCUGCACAUACUCAUAUUGUUACUAAAUUCCACACCUUGUAAUAUCACCUUUGUUCUUUGUAAUUGUCAUUGAUGCAGCAUGAAGAACAAGCUGUUUGGAAAAACAAAAACAGGUUGUUCUUCACUGCUCUACGAGGAAUAUUUUUAAAGAUAUUUAAAACCCGGGAAGACAUGGUCCAUUUUGAACGUCAGGCCUUACAGAAAUGUGCAGAAUUUCCUAUUUCAUCAGUUCCUUUCAUAUUUUAUUUUCAUUUUACUUCUGACAGUUAACUACAAGUAUCCAAAAAUACAUUUGGCAUUUUAAAGUGUUAUAUUUUCAUAACCAUGACAACUCUACUUCAUUGCAAUUGUAGUUGCAUUUAGCUUAACACUACAGAAUUUCUAUGUUCAUACUAGUUUAGUUGAAAAUAAAUGUUGAUGCAACCUACUGUUCAAUUGAAGAAUGAGACUUUUUAGCAGUUGAACACUCUGUGACAUCUCUUAAUGGUUGUUUGUUAUUUGUUAUUAACCUGUGACCAUUUAAUCUGCUCCAUCACGGAAAAUGAUCGACAUGUGAAAAUUAAAUAGUGCAGUUAAUCAAGAUGCAUCCUAGUUUAUAUGAUAAUACCAAACAUGGUUAUUCAAGAUAGGAUGUAACUAGCAAAUUGAGGGAAAAACUUACUAAGAAAAUAAAUGAUGCUGAAAAGAUUGAAUUGGCGAAAUCCUGUUUGCAAGAAAUUGCUGUUUCAUAUAAGCAGAAUUUUGAAGUCAUCAUUCUCAAAGCAUAACUGAGAAAUAUCCAUCAUCAUUGUAAUGUGAACCGGAGUUAUGGAAACAUUUAAGUCUGACAUAUUUCCCAUCUGAUUAUCUGCAACAGUUAGGCAAAUUCCACAGCUCAAGAAUGCAGGUAAAAUGCUGGAAAAAUUCACAAGCAGUCUUUUAUCUUCACUUGAAUAGCCCUGCUCCGAUUGAGUCAGUGGCACAGUCAAAACAGAAGUAUUAUUUGCAUGUUGUAAAGCAAUAGAUGAUUCAGUUUGUUGAAAAUGGUGAAAACAGAAGGAAAUUUGCCCUCCUCUGCAUUGCCCAGCAAUGUUGGUGGUAGUAAUGAAGAAGAACGGAACAUUGAAUUUUCUUAAAAUUAUGAAUGAGAACUAACUAUGUAUAUGCUGAAAUUCUGAGGCCAUUAAUACCCAAACUGAUGAAGGAAAGAAAAUACACAAAUAUCCAAGAAAGUACCAAAAUUACUAUCCCACACUUCCUCACCAUAUUGACAAUUAGUUUCAUAAAUUACAACGUAGAUUCUCUGGAGUCAACACCUCUGAAGUAUUGGGAAUAUCAAGAAUAUAUUUGAGGAUGUGUUCUCCUGGGCUGCAUGUUUCAUCUCAAAACUGAUACUUGAUUUUUGCAAGAUUUUACUGUUGGUGGGUGCUAGAAAGUUCUUCAGUCAAUUUGAUUUUGGCUGGUAUUGUUCUAGCAUAAUUCCUACUUUAAUCAAGUUUAGAUUCAGCUUUAUUGAUUUUUUUCAUAAAAGCUUGUAAUACAAACUUGGUACAUGUUAAUGUGAUGGGUCAGAUUGGUUGCUGGGACUGCGGAAGGUACUACUUGGCAUGUGCCAGUAUUACCACUGUCCUCCAGUAACAAAACAUUUCUCAUUUCUGCAUGUGGUAAGAGAACACCAGCAGCUUUUAGAAUGUGGUCAGUAUUUUUUAGUUUGUUAUGUUCACACUCGUACUUUAGCCGACAUCCUCAGAAGUCAUGACAUUGCUCACACAUCAAUCUACAUUAUGUAAUAAAUAGAUGUUAUUUCAGAUUUUAAAUAUGUUGUGUUAAAAUACAUGGAGGAACAUUUUUUGGCUGCAUAGUUUGAUAUUUGCAGCACAGAUGUCACCAGUAGAUUUGUUUCUGCAGUAUGUGAACAUCGGAGCCAGUGAGGCAUGCAGAAUAACAAAAUAGCAAGGAAUGCAUAGAGUGCACUUUUACAUUAUUUUUCUGCAUAAUUUUAAUUUUAUAUUGGGUGAUAGCCAUGGCCAAGG